rnacentral:rRNA from 1 species
GUAGGGUGCGAGCGUUAAUCGGAAUUACUGGGCGUAAAGCGUGCGCAGGCGGUUAUGUAAGACAGAUGUGAAAUCCCCGGGCUCAACCUGGGAACUGCAUUUGUGACUGCAUGGCUAGAGUACGGUAGAGGGGGAUGGAAUUCCGCGUGUAGCAGUGAAAUGCGUAGAUAUGCGGAGGAACACCGAUGGCGAAGGCAAUCCCCUGGACCUGUACUGACGCUCAUGCACGAAAGCGUGGGGAGCAAACAGGAUUAGAUACCCUGGUAGUCCACGCCCUAAACGAUGUCAACUGGUUGUUGGGAAUUAGUUUUCUCAGUAACGAAGCUAACGCGUGAAGUUGACCGCCUGGGAGUACGGCCGCAAGGUUG